rnacentral:rRNA from 1 species
UACGUAGGGCGCAAGCGUUGUCCGGAAUUAUUGGGCGUAAAGAGCUCGUAGGCGGCUUGUCACGUCGGAUGUGAAAGCCCGGGGCUUAUCUCCGGGUCUGCAUUCGAUACGGGCUGGCUAGAGUGUGGUAGGGGAGAUCGGAAUUCCUGGUGUAGCGGUGAAAUGCGCAGAUAUCAGGAGGAACACCGGUGGCGAAGGCGGAUCUCUGGGCCAUUACUGACGCUGAGGAGCGAAAGCCAGGGGAGCAAACGGG